rnacentral:rRNA from 1 species
CAGUAGCCGCGGGAAAACAGAGGGUGCGAGCGUUAAUCGGAUUUACUGGGCGUAAAGCGUGCGUAGGCGGCUUUUUAAGUCGGAUGUGAAAUCCCUGAGCUUAACUUAGGAAUUGCAUUCGAUACUGGGAAGCUAGAGUAUGGGAGAGGAUGGUAGAAUUCCAGGUGUAGCGGUGAAAUGCGUAGAGAUCUGGAGGAAUACCGAUGGCGAAGGCAGCCAUCUGGCCUAAUACUGACGCUGAGGUACGAAAGCAUGGGGAGCAAACAGGAUUAGAUACCCCAGUAGUCCCUGUCUCUUAUAC